GGUAAGGAGCCAAAGUGUCUUCAGGAAGGACACCAGGCAAUGAAAUAGAAGGUAGCAACUGGGUGGAGCAGGAAGUGGUUCUACCUUUGUGUCAGUUUCACCUUUCAGGAAGUGUUCUGGACAGAAGGAUCCUGAAUCACAGUCAGCAGGUCAGCUAGAGAGCCAUGUGACACCAAGAACACUGCUGCAAGCAAUCCCAGUGAAACUCCCAGAGUCCAGCCUCCUGCCUCCAGGCCAGUCCAACUAAAACACAAUCUUGGCUCGAAAGAAAACGGCAUGUUACCAUCCAACUUUGCCACUUGAAAUGAAACUAGAAAAACAUCCUGAGAACAGAGAAGCCAUUCUUCACUGGGCUACAGCGGAAGGAGUACCCUGCUCAUCCCUCCCUGGCUUCAGGAGCACACAGGCAUCCAGCCGUUGCUCCAUCCCCCGGCAGCUGAUGCCCAGACAUGCGGCCACUGCGGCCGAGCCCAGGGGUCCCAGGGCUUCGGCCAGAAGAUCAAACACGCCCAGCUCACAGGCAGUGAAGAGAACCAGUUACGGUGAGUUGGGGGUUAGUGGUGGAUGGGCUGUUCCUUCCUGCAGGUUCUCACUGCAGGGCGUGGGGGUGGGGAUUCUAAGGGUCAGGGAGACCCUGAGCUGGGCGGGAGCAGGCCAUGGCACUAAUUAG
rnacentral:lncRNA from 1 species